AAGGUGAUGGACAGAGAGAGACAGCCCAUCCUUCAUCCCAUGUGCUCUCUCCAUAUAUACAACUUACAACUACGCCUCACUUGUUUUCUUUCGGUUAACUCCACCAUCUUUCUAAAUCUACACGCUAGCUAACCUCUCUCUCUCCUCUCCAGGUGGUAGUUGGAUACUUCUGAGGGAAGUGAUGGCUGCCGAAGCACCGGGGUGGGCCGAUCAGUGGGGCGCCGGAGGCAUUGGAGCACUGGAAGAUGCAGAGAGCGCCAAAACGGGAGAAAACGACAGCAGCAACAAGAAGGCAGAGACCAAGUCUGGCUUAGGCAAGGCCAAGGUGGCUGCAAUGGCUGGCGCUGAGAAGAUCAAGAGCGGCACAUCCAACGGCAUCAAAUGGAUCAAAAAUCAGUGCCAGAAGAAAAAAACAACCAAACCAGAUAACUAGAAAUGUUCCAUAUCCAGAAAGUUCAAUUGUUUGUUGUCUAAGUGUUGAUUUGUGAUUAUUUUUGCCUGUUUGGUGUGUAAGAAUGUUGAAAUACCAAUCGUAAUUUGUUUCUUGGAACAAUCAA